CAUUAUUUCCGAUGUUGGGCCCCCCGUCUUAUAUUGUCCACGCUCUAGAUGUCCAGUCCUGGGCGUGUGGGGGGUGUUGGAGUCCCACAUCGGUGGGUUAAAGGGUCCUUGAUCUCCUUAUAUGGUCUUGGGCAAUUCUUCCCUCAUGAGCUAGCUUUUGAGGUUGAGUUAGACCCAAAGUCCAUUUCUUUGUCAGUUUUUUGCCUAUUUUUCCCUUGUUGAAGGUUUGAAGGCAAACCCUUGAAUCUAAGGGGUUUAGGUUGAGUAGGUCUAAGAUGAGUAUUUGGAUUGCAAGUUUAACGACUCGAGGCAAUAGGACGAUGUGGUGGUGAGGUUGGAUUUCCAGGAGGUUUUAAAAAGGGAUAGUUUUAAGUAUCUUGGGUCUAUGAUCAAGGGGAAUGGUGAGAUUGAUAAGGAUGUCACUAAUCGUAUUGGAGUAGGUUGGAUGAAGUGGAGGCUCGCCUCGAGAGUGUUGUGUGAUAAGAAGGUGCCUCUUAAGCUUAAAGGCAAAUUCUAUAGAGUGGCAGUCCAUCUGACCAUGUUGUAUAGAGCGGAGUGUUGGCCAGCCAAGCACUCCCACAUCCAAAAGUUGAGGGUGGCGGAAAUGAGGAAGAUGCGUUGGAUGUGUGGGCUUUCUAGAGGGGAUGGUUAGGAAUGAGAUUAUUCGAUAGAAGAUGAGAGUGACUUCGGUGGAGGACAAGAUGCGGGAAGGAAGACUGAGAUGGUUUGGGCAUGUGAUAAGAAGGGACGCGGGUGUCCUAGUUCGUACGUGUGAGAGGCUAGCAUUGGAUGACUUUAGGAGGAGUAGAGGUAGGCCGAAGAAAUACUGGAGGGAGGUGAUCAGACAUGACAUGGAGCAGCUACAGCUUACUGAGGACAUGACCCUAGAUAGGAAGGUUGGAGGUCGCGGAUAAGGGUAGAAGGCUAACGAGCUAGUACUAUUAGGACUGUGCGCAUAGGUGCCUAUGGUUUGUGAGUGUUUGUUACUUCUACGCGGUUGUCCCUUGCAUAAUUUCUCAGUUCCUAUUUUCUUAUUGCGUGUUGCCUUAUAUCUCGUAGUGCGUAUUUCUCUGAUUUAUGUUAUAUUAUUCCUUACGCCUUAUCUCUGUUAUUUCUGUGUCUGUUAUUUCUAUUUCUGUUAUGUCAUCCAUCCCCAUGUCUACUAUUUUUUAUCUUGAGCCGGGGUCUAUCGGAAACAGCCUCUAUACUUCUUCGGAGGUAGCGGUAUGGACUGCAUACAUCUUACCCCCCAAGACCCCACUUUGUAGGAAUACCUAUACACUGGGUCUGUUGUUAUUGUUGUCCCUUGUUUGUACUAAAUACGUGUUGAAUUGAAACAAAAGAGAUGAAAGAACCUACUUAGUUCUUAAAAAAGAUGUAAGUACAAAUUCUUCUGGAGCAGAAUGCGUACAUGAAAUAUUUUUAUGAUUGAUAAUUUUUCCAUUACAAAAUAUGGUAAGUCGCUGUACUUGAAAGCAAUUCACAAAGACAUGAUACCAAAUACAAUAAGAUAAAACACUAUAAAUUAUGCUUAGAAAAUAACUCGAUGGAUCACUUUAGAUACUAACACAUUGUAGAUGAAAUAGGCUUCUCACUAAAGCAAUUGCAAAUGAUUAGGUCCUCUGAUAUUUCAUCUAUUAACUAACAUUUAAAUCUUUUCCAAUUUCACAUGUGUUAAAACAAAUAAACAAUAGGAACCCAACUGCUUCUAUACCAUCAAUUUUAUACGUAUCAGAUAUAUAGUAGAUGUUAUUCUUGCAAUAACUAAUUCUCUGCGGAAUCCUAACUUAGGACAAACAAACUACUGUCAGCUAAAGCUAAUUAAAUGUUUCAGUUAUCAUGCUUAAUUGAAAAAAUUUUUAAAAUAUAAAAGAAUGCACACAACACUCACAGAAGUUACAUAAAAAGUCAGAGAAAUUUGAGCGCUAAAACUGAAACUAAAGCAUACCUGAAGUGGAAACAACCAAGAAGAUGAAGAAGAACAGUCUUGAAAUGAUGAAGAAAAAGUUCAUGCAAAUUAAUGAAUAUUGCUGGAGAUAUGAAAGAGUUUUUUAGGAAUGAGAGAGAUGAAGUAAGAUGCUUCUACAGUUGUCCUCAACGAUAUUUUGUAUGUCAAUUUACCACUUUACCCUUAGGAUCCAUACAUGAAUAACUUGGUUAUUCAUGUAUUAAUUUUAUACAUUGUUUGGUAAGCAUGGGAAAAAAAGUUAUUCACGUAUUAAUUUUAUACAAUGUUUGGUUGGUAGGUUUCCAAAUGUUGUGUAAAAGUUAUUUAUGUAUUAAUUUUAUAUGGUGUUUGAUUGUGUUUUUGUAAUCCUGCAUAAUUAAUAUUUACAUAAGUUAUGAAGGAAUCUAUGGAGAAAAAUGAGCCCAUAGACCCUCUCAAGUUUUUAAUUAAAAAAAGGAGACAAGUGGGGUCCUACAAUAUUAUUAAGUUAAAAGAAAUAAAGUCGCUUAAACAACUAGGACAGUUGUUCGACAACUGGAUUACAACUUUGAUAGUUGUUGAACAACUUUAAAAAGUUGUCGAAUAACUUUGAUCGUUGUUGAGAUAACUUUUUUAGUUGUUGGAGCGAAAAUAUUUUUAAAAAAAAUGAAAAAAAAUUCGUCCCUUUUACUCAAUUUUUAAGACUUGAAGGACUCUCACCUAAUUGAGUAACUAGUUUGUCCCUUUUAAUAGCAUAUCCAGAAUUUAUGUAUAAUUUUAUGCGGGAUAGAAGGUGGAAUAAGUUGUGGGGUAUUAGUUAUACAUGACUUAAAUAAUAAAUUUACAAUUUACCCCUAUCAAUUCCCUUUUAAAUUAUUUAUUUUAUUUUGUGUCUUUGUUUCAAUUCACUGGCAGUAGUGCACUGCCGGUUUUUUCUUUGCUUUUUUUUUUCUAGUUAAUUCUUUUACUUACUGCCAGUUUUUCCUUUGGACUUUUUCUUGUUAUUUCUUUUAUUUAAUUGCUUUAGUUAUUUUUUAUUCGCUUUAUUAUUUUUAACUAUUGGUAUUUAUUUAUGUUUUUAAUGUGUUAUUUAUAGUUGUUAAUUUGUUACUAUUUAGCUAAUCUGUUUACUUGUUUUAAGCUAAUUUUUUUGGUUAAAAUCCAUACAUUUAAUAAUUUUUGCUUAAUAAACUUUAAAAAAAAGAAAAUCUCACUAUGAGUGUAAUAAAUAAAUAAACAUUUUGAAAUUAAGUAGAAAUAAUUCAUGUAGUAUAAUUCCUACAUAACUUUAAUACCUAUAUAACUAAUACCUGCAAUCCUGCAUAACUAAUUCUUCCAUAAAUAAUACCUGCAUAACUAAUUCCCACGUAACUAAUACCUGCAUAACUAAUUACUACAUAACCAAAACCUGCAUAACGUUAACCAAUAAGCAAACGACCCCUUACUGAUUGAGCUUAAUUUCAGUUUUGCCAUUGGUAGUUCUAUUGCUCAUCUUCUUUAGAGUAGUAAAUCUUUUUGCAUCUUAGAUAAAGCAUAUAAUGGUGGUUAUAAAAAAUUAUAAAAAUAUAUGAUCCCUGCCUGAAUAAAACUUCUUGAAUCUCAAAUUUACGGAUCAUAAAAAAAUUAAAGUGUCAUCCUAAAGCUCCUAUUUUUAGAAAUUCUGGAAUGCUGUCUUAGACCAUUUUCAGGCUUUAUGCCAUGCCCAUGUUACUUGGAUACUUCCCAGGUUAGGUGCUUCUUUGGAGCCUACAAAGCUCGUCCCACAUUAUGAACCCAUGGUAAAGCAAACAGUAGAGAAUAAUUCAGCAACUUUGUUUUCCUUUUGGUGAUGACUUAAAGGGCUUUGGUGAGGGGUGGUAUUGGCGAAGAUUGGACAUCUUUGUUUUAGACUUCUCUCUAUUUAUUCAAGUUGGAGACCCAAAGCUAGAAGGAUUUGGUCUCAGAGAUUGUUUGGAUUUGCUUUUUAAAAACAGCUUAUAAGCUAAAAGCUAAAAGUCAUAAUUUGGGAAUAACCAACUUUUGUCAUUUAGCUUAUUUAUGGGCCUAAAAGUAAGUGCUUAAAAGCAGUUUUCAUCUUUCCCAGACACCGCAAAAGUUGGGAAAAAGCUUAAAAGCCAAAAACACUUAAUGAGCCAAUUCAAACACCCUCUUACUUGGCCUGUAGGCAUAUAAGGUUCCGCCGAUGAUGACAAUGGUGGUUGAUGAUUUAGCUUUGUCAAUCACAAGGGUAGAAAGAAAUCUUCAUAAUAUUAGCCAAGUGGCAACACAAGGACACUUAUUAUAAAGGGUGGGCAGGCACGUCCAAGUGAGAGAUGUCAAAAGAAGGAGAUUUGUUAUAAAUAUAUUACUAUGUAUAUUGAAUGUCUACUUUACCAUAUAUAGUGAAUGUCUAUUUAUGGAAAAGUUAGAAAUCCCAAAGUUAGUUUUCCCUUAUAAAUAAAGGGGUUUCCUUCAUUGUAAUUCACUCCUCAAGAAUUCCUCAAGAGAAAUAAAGAGUACUCUCUCUUCUCUCGUUAUUCUUACUGUUUUUACUUUAUAUUUCAUAACAUGUUAUCAGUACGAGAAUCUGCCAAAACAAGGUGAGAUCAUAAGUCUACAGGUAAUUUUAAGGUUAGUGAUUUUUUAUGUUAUUUGUCUUUUGCUGCUAAUGAUAUAAUUAUUAUGGGAUUUGAGAAAAAAAUAAUUGAUUUGGAACCACUUAUCCUUUAUAUUUGUUCAUGAGAACAGUAUUGUUAAAAGAUAUGAUGAUGAAUUUAAAUCUCAUCUCAUUAAGAAGAUAAGACAUUGGGUUAAAAGUUUCAAUGCACCAUGAUGAUGAGAUGUUGGGUUCAAGUCCUAUCGAGUUAUAGCCUAAGACGCCUUUUUAUAUGGGUAAGAUAUUGAUUUUGAAUCUCAAUACACCAUAUUGAUGAUAUUAUAUGAUGGCUAAGACAAAAUAAUGGGUGUUCGUGAAAAGUCAUGAGACAUGUCCCAUUGAUAUGCUUUAUUUCUGAAGUGAAUGUGGUAGCAGUGCAUAAUAUGUCUGAAAGAAGACAAGUGAUUGAUGUACGAAUAUAAGCGUGAAAGGACAAUAUGAUAAUAAUCAUUAAAAGUGAUAAUAUUUUCAUACGCUUAUUAUGAUUAUAAGAUAUGGUAGAGAAAAAUUCUCUACAUUAUAUGUAUGCCUCGAUUUGCUCAUGAAGUAGCAAUAACAUAAAAGAGGUUAUAAGCUAUCAAAAUUUGAUAGGCUUAAGGCACAAUUACAUUCCCGAUGAAUGAAAAAUUUGAUUGUUAUAAGUAUAGAUCCAUUCCAUGGGGUGAAUGUGAUAAUAUCUAGAAAAGCUUAUCAAUACAAACGUGCACUUAGUUGUGGUGGUAUCAUAACUCACCUCCGAAAGAGGCAGAAUAAUUGAGAAGAGUUAUUUUGAAAUUUACUUCUAAAGUAGUAAAUCUGAAAUUUAUUCAUAGAAUAGUAAAUCUGAAAUUUAAUUAAAAAAAGUAUGUCAUGGUAAACUUGAAGCUUACUAGUAUAAAUGUUCAUAAAUUAACAUGUAAGAUUAUGACAUCCCAAAGACAUGCAUUGUGAGUAUUAAACAUAUAUUGAAGAACUAGAAGAUUCUUCAAGAAUUUUUUAUGCUGCUUGUUCUCGUGAUAAGUUGGUUGGACCAACAAAUAUUGGGAUUUGAUCCCCCAAAAUCUGAAAAGUAUAAAAGAUGAAUAUGGCCCGUUCACCAAUCAUGUGAUCUAUUAAGAUGCAUUGAUAUAAGAUGAUCACUUGUACGUUUAUUGUCAACCUGCAGUUUGACAUUCAUAAAGUUGUUGCUCAAUAAAACUGAGUUAAGAGCAUAAUUUUCAGAUUGUGUAAUCAAGACAAAUUAUCUUGAUAAUGUCGGUUUGGCAUUGAAUUCCUUCGAUAAAUAGCUGAACCAUUGCUAAUGAGAACAAAAACUUCAUGUGUUGAUUUGAACUAUUAUAUACAAACGUAUUUGUAUGCAUCAAAUCAAUAAAUUAUGAUUAAUUUCCCUUCAAAGUUGGUUCUGAGUCAGGGACCACAUGUUGUCCAUCUAAUAGUUUUGAUGUUCGAUAUACGAUUAGUGAAUAUACCAUAAUGCACAAAGAUGGAUUCCUCAAAGAAGAUGAAGGAUGUGUGUAAGUUUUUCCAACAUAAAGGGGAGAUUAUAAGCAGUUAUAAAAUAUGUUAGGAAUUAUUAUCAGAUCCUCAUUCAAAAGAUAAUUCAAGUCAAAUGUCGAAAGCCUAUCAUAUUUAAGCUAUAAGUGUUCCUAUUUUGUGUCGAAAGGGAAAAGUCUAUGCAUGCCUGAAGCGUGGUAGAUCAAUCGAUUUCAAAUGAAAUAAUCCUUGAAAAGUAUAUAGAGCAAAUAAUCACAAUAAGAAGGCAAUGUGCUCUUGAAGAGCCUACGACAUAACACUUAAUGAAAUAAUGAGAUAAUAGCUAUUCAUGAAGCAAGUCAAGAGUAUGUGUGGUUGAGGUCCACGAUACAUCUCAUUCGCGAAAAAAUGUGGUUUGAAUUAUGACAAAGUAGCCACUUUUUUUUUUACGAGGAUAAUACGGCAUGCACAACACAACUUAAGGGAGGACUCAAGGAGAUAGAACAAAGCACAUUUCGCCAAAGCUUUUUUAUACACACAAGCUAUAAAAGAAUAGUGAUAUUAACGUGCUACAGAUUCGUUCAAGCGACAAUGUGACUGAUUUAUUCACCAAGUCUCCUCCAAUUACAACUUUCAAGAAGAUGGUUCACAAGUUCGGGAUGCAAAGGUUCAAGGGCGUUCUCAUUAGGGGGAGUUAAUACGCGUUGUACUCUUUUUUCCUUACGAGAUUUUGUCCCACUGGAUUUUCCUCGUAAGGUUUUUAAUGAGACAACCUAUAUGCGUAUUGUCAGAGAUAUGUACUCUUUUUCCUUCAUUAGAUUUUUUCCCUGGAUUUUUUAUAUUAAGGUUUUAACGAGGCAUAUUAUCUAUUAAUUAGACAUUCAAGGGGGAGUGUUAUAAAUAUAUUACCAUAUAUAGUGAAUGUCUACUUUACCAUAUAUAAUGAAUUUCUACUUUACCAUAUAUAGUGAAUGUCUAUUUAUGGAAAAGUUAGAAACCCCAAGGUUAGUUUUCCCCUAUAAAUAAGGGGUUUCCUCAUUGUAAUUCAGCCCUCAAGAAUUCCUCAAGAGAAAUAAAGAAUUACUCUUUCUUCUCUCUCCAUUCUUGUUGUUCUUUAUAUUUCAUAACAAGAUUAAAAUUUUAAUUCAAAUCAGAAUUUCAUCCCAGAAUCAUAAGUCAGUGCCGUGCAAGUCUAAUUGCAGGCUCUUUUUUUGGAAGAAUACAUAAUGGGAAGUGUAUCUUGGGCCCAUCUCUAAUUAAUAGUAUUAGUGUGGAUCGGUCCAAAGAAUCGAAUGCUCCCAAGGUUUUGAAAACAAUAUUUCAGCGUGAAUAGAAUGAAUAUAGGCCCUUCUUACUCAAAAAAAGAAAAAGAAAAAGAAAAAGAAAAAGAAAGAAUAUAGGCCCCAUUAUUAUGGAUCUUUAUAACUUUAUGAGCCUCAAUAGAAUUGAUAUACCUAAUGUGGUUUCUCUUGACCCAGUGAAAAUUGAAAUCAAAGCCUCAAGAGAAUUUACUUGCAUCUUCUCUAAAGUUGAAUGGGUCGAAAGUUUCAAUUGAGUUGUGGAUCUUUCUAACAGAAUUGAAAAAGAUUUUUGAGGAAAGCUCAGACAAGCAAAUUCAACUUUUACAUUAGAGAUGCAAAAUGAAUGGACUCUCAUAAUCAAUACUCAUGCCUCUGAGAUUUCAGAAGGCCGGACUGAGAUUAUUGAUGAUUCUAAAUGAGAUGGUGUUAGAGAGAUGCUACCUAGUAGAAGAUGAAGUAAAUGCUUCUAUUAGUCCGAAUGAAUCUUCCAACUGAAAUCCUCAUGUUGCAUGGUAUGAAGGUGGCUAUGAUCUUCUCACUGAAAUCCUCAUGUUGCAUGGUAUGAAGAUGGCUCUUGGUUAUCGAAUGGUUGAAAGAAGCGGAGAUUUUGUAGUGGGUAAAGAAACACUUAUUGAGAAGGUGCAAGAAGUUAGGGAUACAACCAACAACUGGGAAUUAGAUGUCCUUGAAUAGUUUCUGAGAAUUGAGAAGGAAAGAAUAAAACAAGUUUGACCAAAUGAGGGAGGAAAAAGGGUGAUUUUGCACCGCUCAGGAAUAACCUCAUAUCCCUUAUUUCCUUUUGGUGCACCAUUCAUGUGUAGGAUUUUGGGUGACAUUCCUAAAAAUCAUAUCUUCGUGU
rnacentral:lncRNA from 1 species